AGUGAACGCUGGCGGUAGGCCUAACACAUGCAAGUCGGACGGCAGCACAGUAAGAGCUUGCUCUUACGGGUGGCGAGUGGCGGACGAGUGAGGAAUACAUCGGAAUCUACUUUUUCGUGGGGGAUAACGUAGGGAAACUUACGCUAAUACCGCAUACGACCUACGGGUGAAAGCAGGGGAUCUUCGGACCUUGCGCGAUUGAAUGAGCCGAUGUCGGAUUAGCUAGUUGGCGGGGUAAAGGCCCACCAAGGCGACGAUCCGUAGCUGGUCUGAGAGGAUGAUCAGCCACACUGGAACUGAGACACGGUCCAGACUCCUACGGGAGGCAGCAGUGGGGAAUAUUGGACAAUGGGCGCAAGCCUGAUCCAGCCAUACCGCGUGGGUGAAGAAGGCCUUCGGGUUGUAAAGCCCUUUUGUUGGGAAAGAAAAGCAGCAGGUUAAUACCCCGCUGUUCUGACGGUACCCAAAGAAUAAGCACCGGCUAACUUCGUG
rnacentral:rRNA from 1 species